AUACUUCUCCAUCUAAUUGGUACUUAUUCUAGUAGUUUUUAUAACUUUUCAGGAUUUUGACUGCAUUUAUUUUAGUACUAAUCAUCUCAUUGAGAUAUAUAACUACACCAUCGGGCUACAUGUCAUUUGGUUUGAUUUUGGUGGUGAUGAACUAUCAUGCAAACACUGAUCACGUGGGAGGAUGGCCAUGGUGCUUGCGCUGUAAUUUAUUGCACAAGGUAGACUUGGGGUAGUCAUUGGGUAGAUAUUAACUUCAGAUGAGAACAGUUUUUGUGUUAGCUAUCCUCUGACAUUUUUCUUCCCUGUGAUCCUGAAGAGUUCUUUAAAGUAUCAUUGUUUAGUAGCAAAUGAAUUGUUUUUGCAUGGUUUUCAUCUGUUUGUUUUGAUUUUCCUCAGUGUUUAGGAAGUGAUUUAAUUGAUUAUAUGCCUCAGAUGGAUUAAACUUUUUACCUCUUUCUAUUCAACAUAUUUGAAACUGUGAUCAAGGCACCUCCCCUUGGAUUAAAGCACCAUAGAAGUUUUCUUUCUUUCUUUCUUUCUUUCUUUGUAUUUUUCCUGGCUGUUCGGGUUCUUUCUGACGUGCUGCCUUUGCAUUAGUGAUUGAGACAAUAAAAAUACACGCAAUGGAUAAACACUGCUUAAUCAUUGGAAGAAGUAAAAUUUUGAAAUUAUGGUUGAAUAAAGAUAGAAGAUUGUUUCUUGAGGGCUCCUGAUCAAAUGGGAUGAGACGUGAAUUCUCUCCACUUUUAAGGUUUUUCAUUGCCUUUAGUGAUUUAAUCAAUUUCUUUUCUCCUGAGAUCUUUAGCUUCUUCUGUCUCUGUCGACUGAUCAAGAAAAAUGGACACCUGCAAAAAGACUAUCCACAAGCUUAGUAAGUUGGAGUUAUCGUCAGAUUUCAGGUUUUUUUUUUCUUUUGGUUCCUUUGCACUGGACUAUUUAAUUUUUUUUUGGGUAUCUUCUAUGCAGUUGUAUGUUGACUGUUGACUCACAAAAGGCAAUCUAUGAGAUGUCUCAAAUACUAACUAGGAGCAGUAAAUAAAUUAUCAUUUUUCUUAAAGACUAAAUUAUGUAUUAUUGACCGGAAAAUGGAUCAAAUUGCGACAUAAUUAAAAUUUUUCUCUUUCAUUUAUGCUGUAGUCAUUACCUAAAAAUUUUCGUCAUUGCAUCCAUCCAAGAAUUGGCUCUUCUUUUGUUUCUAUAAACUUAUUUUUUCUUAGCUUACCUAUUUUGGAUUGUUUUCUUUUUAGGUGAAAGUAUGAAAGGGAAGUGGUGGUAAUUCUGCUAGAGGCCUUAAGAAUCAAUUGCUUUACUUGUAAAAGCUUCAUUUUAGCAGCAAGAGGUAUAUCCAUACUUCCUUCGUUGUAUGUCUCAAUGUACUUGAUUAUUCUGGGAUGGGAAACUCUCUGUGAAAAACUCCACAGUGAAAUGAGAUUUUUCUUAUCUAUGACUUUAUUUUUUUCCUUUUACCAAAGGCUGAACUUGGAGGAGAUUUUCUGAUCUUUGACUUUAUUUUUUUUUUCCUUCUACAAAAGGCUAAACAUGAAGGAACUUCAUUACGCAUUUUAUAUUUCGUAUUUCUUUUAACUUCAGCAUGCUGAUUUUUUAUUGGGGCUAUAAUUUAGCAAGUAGUUGAUCUUUCGGAGGUGGUGAUCUGAAGGAGAUGAUAGAGAUUAAAAUAGAGGGAUAUAGGGACAUUGUAUUGAGAAAAAGCAAUCAUCAGCUGCUUUAAGUUCGUUUGUUUCUGAAACCAGUAGGACUGUCAUGUUAAAAUUGCCUGGGAUUGGAAGCCCAAUGACUACUUGAUAGAGAUAGGUGGCAAAAAUCCACUAAGGUUUAUAGGAGACAUGGGAAGGAUGUGUCGAAUGCCCAAGCAUUGAUUUGGCAUGCUUUUGAUGACAAGGAACCAACUUGGGAGUUGGUUUGAAUUCCAUGGAGUUUAUUUUCUGAUUUUCGCCGGCAGGGGUAUUUUAGUAAUUUGAAUUAGCUGCAGGUAUUUUAUGUUUAUGGUAAUUUUCAGUUUAGUAGUUAUUUUUGGUAAUUAGUAUUUUAGUUGUUAUAGAGAAUAAGAAAGCUUAGGCCUUGUUUAGAUUGCAGUUUUCCAUCGGAAAAUUACGUUGUUUUCCGUGAUCACAUUUCCCUAUUACCUUUUUCUCUCACAUACAUCAAAUCGCUACAGUAAUUUUUUUCAUGAAAAAUCAUGGAAAAUGCAAUCCAAACACAACCUUAGCUUUCUUGCAUUCUACUAGAAUUCUAUUCUAGUGAGGAGUCCUAAUUAGGAUUGGAAUGAGCUUUGUUCUAAGGUCUAUAAAUAACCACUUCUCUACAAAGAGAAAUCAGUGUUUUGGUCAUUAAUAAAAUUUUCCUGCAGACUUAACGUCUUCCUUAGGGCUGUGUGAUACAUCCCCACUUUAGGUGUGAGGCCUAAAGAUUCCUAGGAGUGAUUCCUAGAAUUACCAAUCAGUUUUCACCUUCUUAAGCAUAUUCUGCCAUCCUAUUCCAAGUUGCUAUUAUAAGUUCGGGGAUAUUCAAUACCUAAGCUUUUCUACAAAUCUGUUGUGCCUACCAAGUUUUUGUGCUGCAUCACUACUACUCCAUUUCAUUGGUAUUUAUGCUAUUAAUACUUUUAUUCUUUCGAUUUUGACUGCACGUGUCCUAAUUAAAAUGUGAAGCUUCAAUCUAGCAACCCCAUUGAGAUAUAUUACCUACUUCUGGGUACGUGUCAUUUGGGUCGAUUUUGGUUCUGAUGAACUAUCGUACAUAUCGAUUUCAUAUCGUUUGGAUAGAUUUUGCAAUGUCACUUGCCCUGUGUUGAAGAUAUGUGAUCUGAUAUUAUGGAAAGAUUUGAUAAUAUAAAUAUUAGGAAAGAUUUGAUUAUAGUAUCAUAUAUUAAUUAGGUAUCAUAUGAUUAUAGUAUUAGGUAAUAGUAUGAUUAUAGUAUCAUAUGAUUAUAGUAUCCACUUGUGUAUAUAUAUAUAUAUAUAUAUGUAUAUUGUGUAGUCCAAGGUGAAAUAGAAGAAAAGUAUUGUUUCUCUCCAUUUUUCUUAGUUUACAUGGUAUCAGAGCCCGUCUAGGGUUCUGGGAAAAAUACCACCUUUGCUUCUUGUCAAUUCCAGCCUUAAUUGCUGGUUCCUUUCUUAUUCUCUCCAGCCUUCAUUGCUGUUCCUGUUACUAUACAUUUUUCCCCCCUCCUAUUCAAUCAUGGUGGAUGCUACAUCCUCAACGCGGCAAUUGUCUUCAACUAUGGAAGAAGAACAAAGUACAUGGAACACAACAGAGCUUCAAAACAUCCAGGCAGCAUAUAGACUAAAUGGAAAAAAUUAUUUGAAGUGGUCUCAAUUGGUUCGAACAGAGCUUCAAAACAUCCAGGCAGCAUAUAGACUAAAUGGAAAAAAUUAUUUGAAGUGGUCUCAAUUGGUUCGAACAUUCCUGAAAGGAAAAGGAAAGUUGAGUCAUCUAUUGGAAAUAGCACCGGAUAGUGAAACGGCGGGGUUUGAAGCAUGGGAACAAGAGGAUUCAAUGAUCAUGUCUUGGUUAUGGAAUUCCAUGAUUCCUGAAAUCAGCGAUACAUGUAUGUUUCUUCCUACAGCAAAGGCAAUUUGGGAUGCCCUUCAUCAGACAUAUUCCAAGGUUAAUGAUGCAGCUCUUAUCUAUGACAUCAAGACAAAGACAACUGGAGCAAAACAAGGGACAAAAACAGUGACGGAGUAUGCCAAUUUUCUGCAAAACCAGUGGUAGGAACUGGAUUAUUACAGGACACUUGAUUUGAACUGUAGCAAAUGUGCAGUGUUUAAUCAAGAAGUUCAUAGAAAGGGAUCGAGUUUAUGAUUUUUUGGCUGGCCUAAACUCUGAAUUCGAUCUUGUACGAAUUCAAAUUCUGGGCAGGCCAGAGUUUCCUUCUUUAACAGAAGCAAUAUCCCAAGUACGUGGAGAAGAAAGUCGCAGGGGUAUUAUGUUAGAGCUACAUUCAAUAGAAAAUUCAGCCCUUUUAAGUUCCAAAUCUCAGCGGUUGGUACUGAACAAGGUUGCUGCGGACAAGACCAAUCAAACAAGUGGGCAAAAGAAUCGCGAGGAGUUGUGGUGCACAUACUGCAAGAAACCACGACACACCAUAGAUCAAUGCUGGAAAUUACAUGGGAAACCACCCACUCGUGAAUGGGGACAAAAGGGUGGUUAGCAAAGGCAGGCUCAUAUGUCGGUUCAAGAUCCAACUCAAGUGAUUGGAGGGUUUAGUAUGGAGGAAAUUGAAAAGCUUAAAAGUAUGUUGGAGACAGUUGACAAACCAGCAACUAACAAUUCUCAAUCAAGGAAUCCGGGUAUGUGUUCAUUGACACUUUCAGGUAAGGCUCUAGUCUCUUUUGCAUUUAGUGUUUUAGGUAAUGAGCUUAGGAAUGUCUGGAUUCUUGACUCUGGUGCUACGGACCAUAUGACUCAUAUUUUAAAUAAAUUCAAAACCUAUAAUCCCUGUUCUAGCAAUAGAAAGAUUGUUGUUGCAGAUGGUACUACAACCACUGUGGCAGGUAUCGGAGAUGUCCAAGUUACUCCAAAUUUGAUUCUUAAAAAUGUUCUUCAUGUUCCUCGAUUAUCUACAAAUUUGGUUUCUGUAAAAAAACUUGCCAAGGAUCUAGCUGGCUCUGUUAUAUUUGAUGAAUUCUGUUGUGACUUUCAGGACCGGGGUUCGGGGAAGAGGAUUGGACUAGCUAAGGAGCAUGAUGGACUCUAUUACUUGGAUACAUCAAGUCAACCAGAAUUUAGUAAAUCUGUCCUGUCCACAUUGUCUUCACCCUCCAAUAAAGAUGUCAUCUGGUUACAUCAUAGACGUCUAGGUCAUGUGUCUUUUUCUGCAUUAAAAAUAAUGUUUCCUUCCUUGUUCAAGGGAUUUGAUGUUCAGUCUUUUCAUUGUGAUUUUUGCGAGUAUGCUAAACACACUCGUGUAUCAUUUCCUAUCAGUAAUAAACGAUCGUCUUCUCCUUUCUUUUUAAUCCAUAGUGAUAUUUGGGGGCCAUCAACUAUUCCAAACAUCUCAGAGUCUAAGUGGUUUGUCACAUUUAUCGAUGACUGCACAAGAGUCUCUUGGAUCUAUUUACUCAAAAAUAAGUCUGAUUUGAGUUAUAUUUUCCCUGUUUUUCAUGCAAUGAUUCAAAAUCAAUUUGGCACCAAGAUAAAACACUUUCGUUCAGAUAAUGCUCGUGAUUAUUUCAAUCAAACCUUGAGUCAGUUUUUCCAAAAAGAAGGAAUCAUACAUGAAUCAUCCUGUAUUACCACUCCACAACAAAAUGGAGUGGCAGAAUGGAAAAAUCGACAUCUUCUUGAGUGCACUAGAGCCUUACUGUUUGAACAAAGUGUGCCAAAAGCAUAUUGGGGAGAAGCUGUACUCACAUCAGCUUAUGUCAUAAAUAGAUUCCUUCCAAGGUCUUGGGGUUUCAAAGUCCACUAGAGAACCAUCCAAAUUUUACCCCGAUAUUCGAUCUUCCUUUAAUCUCACUCCUCGAGUUUUUGGAUGUACUUCCUUUGUUCAUGUCCAUAGUCAUAACCGUGGGAAGUUAGAUCCUCGUGCUCUUAAGUGUGUUUUCGUGGGGUACUCAUCUACUCAAAAGGGUUACAAAUGUUAUCAUCCACCUACUAGAAAACUCUAUGUCUCGGCAGAUGUUACAUUUGUUGAAAAUAAGCCCUAUUUCAUCACUCCUUAUUUUCAGGGGGAGUUAGAUACACUUGAAGAUAAGGAGUUAAAAUUUCCCUCCUUAGAGUUGACCACAUCUGAGUCAUCCAAAUCUGAAUUCCAAGAGUCAAUUCUUCAAUCUGAUGUGGUAGAAGAAAAAAAGGAAGACCGUAAAAUCUAUGACUGGUUCCAGUUUGACCAAGUGUAUACAAGGAAAGGAGAUCCCAUCAUGGUUACAAGGCAAGAACAAUCCUCUAAACCAAGCUCCGGGAAAGAGGUAACAAUGAGUGAAUCAAAUCUGAAUUCUACAUCACCGACCGACCAUUCUUCCAGCUCUAAAUCACCUUGUCCUGAGCUUCUUAGCCUUGACCAGGACCUACAUCUACCUAUUGCUGUAAGGAAAAAAUCCCGAGAAUGCACCAAAAGACCCCUAUAUCCAUUGUCUCACUUUGUGUCUUUUGAGAAGUUUUCCCCGAGCCAUCAAAGCUUCCUUUCCACCUUAAAUACAGUCUCUAUUCCUAGCUCAUUGUCUGAAGCAUUAUCAAAGAAAGAAUGGAGACUUGCUAUGGAAGUAGAAAUGGAUGCAUUAGAGAAGAAUGGGACCUGGGAAUUAGUUGAUUUACCAAAGAACAAGAAAGUAGUAGGCUGUAAAUGGGUGUAUGCAGUAAAGUUUAAAGCAGAUGGGUCCCUAGAACGCUACAAGGCAAGGUUAGUCGCGAAAGGAUACACACAGACAUAUGGAGUAGAUUAUCGGGAAACAUUUGCUCCAGUAGCAAAGAUGAAUACAGUGAGAAUUCUGCUAUCCUUGGCUGUUAAUUUUGAUUGGGAAUUACAGCAAUACGAUGUGAAGAAUGCUUUUCUUCAUGGAGAGUUAGAAGAGGAGAUUUAUAUGAGCAUUCCACCGGGAUUCAGUGGGGUUGACAAGAACAAGGUUUGUCGGUUAAAAAAGGCAUUAUAUGGGCUGAAACAAUCCCCACGUGCUUGGUUUGGACGAUUUGCCAAGGUAAUGAUAGCUAAUGGUUACAAGCAAAGUCAAGGAGAUCAUAACCUGUUCAUCAAGCAUUCAGCCUUGGGGGGAGUUACUGUUUUGAUUGUAUACGUAGAUGACAUCAUAGUGACAGGAAACGAUGAAGUAGAGAAGAAAACUUUGAAGUGGUGCCUAGCCAAGGAAUUUGAAAUAAAGGAUUUAGGAAAAUUGAAGUAUUUUCUGAGAAUUGAAGUGGCUCGAUCAAGGCAGGGAAUUUUUAUUUCUCAACAGAAGUAUGUUAUGGACCUGCUCAAGGAAACAGGCAUGACAGCAAGCAAGCAGAAUCACAAAUUAAGUGAGGCUCAUGGAGAUACAGUUGUGGACAGAGAGAUGUACCAAAGACUUGUUGGGAAACUCAUUUAUCUCGUACAUACUAGGCCAGAUAUAGCUUACUCAGUCAGUGUUAUUAGUCAGUUUAUGCAUGAUCCUAGAGCAGUUCAUCUACAAGCAGUUUAUCGAGUGCUUCAUUACUUAAAGGCACAUCCAGGGAAGGGAAUUUUAUUCAAAAAGGGUCCUGAAAUUGAUCUGGCAGUUUACACAGAUGCAGACUUUGCAGGGUCUCCAGUUGACAGGCGAUCAACUUCAGGAUAUUGUACAUUUCUUGGAGGAAACUUAAUAUCCUGGAGAAGCAAGAAACAAAGUGUGGUAGCAAGGUCAAGUGCUGAAGCAGAGUUCAGGGCUAUGGCAGCAGGGGUAUGUGAAUUAUUGUGGGUUAAAAUUAUCCUAGAAGACUUGAGGAUUCAAUGGAGCAAACCGAUGAAGCUAUAUUGUGAUAACAAAUCUGCUAUAAGUAUAGCUCACAACCCAGUGCAACAUGAUCGGACGAAGCACAUAGAGAUAGACAGGCACUUUAUUAAGGAGAAGCUAGAAAGUGGACUGAUUUGUACUCCAUAUGUUCCGACAGGACUUCAACUUGCAGAUGUGAUGACAAAGGGACUGUGUAGCAACAUGUUUCAUGAAAGUGUUGUCAAGUUGGGAAUGGAAGAUCUAUAUUCACCAGCUUGAGGGGGAGUGUUGAAGAUAUGUGAUCUGAUAUUAUGGAAAGAUUUGAUAAUAUAAAUAUUAGGAAAGAUUUGAUUAUAGUAUCAUAUAUUAAUUAGGUAUCAUAUGAUUAUAGUAUUAGGUAAUAAUAUGAUUAUAGUAUCAUAUGAUUAUAGUAUCCACUUGUGUAUAUAUAUAUAUAUGUAUAUUGUGUAGUCCAAGGUGAAAUAGAAGAAAAGUAUUGUUUCUCUCCAUUUUUCUUAGUUUACACCCUACUACAUUGUGAAUUUGAAUUGCUGCCUCCGCCAAAGCAUUAUGGCUUUCCAUCCAUCUUUUACAGGAAAAAGUAAUUUGUUUGUAUAAAAAUGAGAAGAAUGGGAAAAGGUAGAGAAAUUAAUUAGGAAUUGACUUUCUUAGUGGAAUUUUUGAGGUUUAGUUAGUGUGAUUCUCCGUAUGUUCUUCCUAGCAAGUACAAAAUUUUUUGUACCUCCAGUACUUCACCUUUUAGGUUUUUGAAAGGGGAAGGUGGUGUUUUGGUUGCAUGGUGCUGGAUAAUUAUUCCAUUUGCCAAGCCCCUAUCAUCUUGGGUGAGGCUAGAAUAGUUGGAGCUUGUGGUAAGCUUUCAUAACACAACCCGAGAACCUUAACUAUACUCCACCCUGUUUGUUGCCAAAUGCUCUCUCUCUCUCUCUCUCUCUCUCUCACACACACACAUGCACAGACACUAUACAUUUAACUUCUCAUGACUCUUUGGUAACUUCUAACUUUGGAUGAUGUUAGGAGGCUGUCUUCUUUAUUGAGUCGUUGAUUGUAGCCUAAAAUCACAAUAAUAACAUUAAUAAUGAUAAUAACAAGGGAGGAAACAUUUGUUGAUUUCCUGCAAUAAGUUGGUUUUUUCUGCUGAAUGAGUGGACUAGUAGGUCAUCUACAAGGUUUUGUCAACACUAAUAGAUGUUCGAGCAUGUUAGAGAGGCUUCCUUGCUUUUGUUCUUUGUUAUAUGACUAAUUAAGAAUAUUGUAUUUUAAACAAAUGACAUGCAUCUGCUUAAUUUAGAUGUUGGAGUGGGUAGAAUGAAAACAGCUGUUCGGAUUUUGGUUGUUGAUUAUUACAGAAUAUGACUACUGUGAAAACUUGUGAAAUUCCUUAUAUAUAUAUAUUUUUUAAAUUCCCUUUAAUUUGGAAUUUAUUACUUUACAAUAGCUUUACUACUCAUUCACUUCCCCAGUAGUUACAAUUAAUUAUAGAACCAAGGGUUUCCCCUUUACUUUCAUUGUUAAGGUAAACUAGGGUUUUUACGUCUUUUCGUAGUGUGAGUAAUCGGUAUGGAGUGUGUUCUAAAUUGGUGAUUCAGAGUGAGUUUUAGAUAAGAAAAAGUGUGUGAUUAGAAGUAAUAAUAAUAAAUUAGUGAAUUAUAAGUGAAAAACCCUAGUACGUACGAGUAAAGGAAAACGGUGAAAACCCGACAAUUUUUUUUUUAGCCCUUAUUUUAAUUCCGUGCAUACAUUUUCUAUACUUUCCUUUAUUAUAUAUUAAUUUUCUAACUAUUUUUAUAAGGGAAUUAAGUUUUCAAAACAUUUUUUCGGUAUAAGUUAGUUCAUGUGACAUGAGUAGCGUAUAUUGGACGUGGGACCUGUUAGUGCAGUAAGUGCGAUAAUUUUUGACAACUAGUUGGAAUUUUGUGUGAAGGGAUAUUAUUUUACAAGGUGCUAGGAGACAAUUAGAGGUUAGCUAGAUAGAUUAACCAUUGGAAGACUAGAGGAUGAGAAUAAACAUUAAAGGUGCCAAGUGUCGCGAAACUAGUUGAAGAUGGACUUUGACCAAUUUCUCACCUUUGCUAAAUAUCCAAUUUUGACUAGAAUCAUCUUCAUUCUUCAUCAAGGCUGGCCGAACCAUAGAGGAAAGAAAGAAAAGAGAAACUUCAUCUUCACCAAUAACUUUUCUUGCUCAAUCUUGAGUUCCAACCAAUAAGUUUACAAAUUUCUCCAUAAAAGUUGUUUACUAAGAGGGUUUGGAGACUUUGGUGGAGUGACUUUGGAAGGAGAAACCCUAAGCUACCAUCUUUCUUGAGGUUCCAAGGUAUCUUGCCUAGAAAUCCCUCUUUGCUCUUAAUAAUUGCAAAUUAUUUGAUUAUAAUUGUUAAAUAGGUAGUUUUGUGAGAAAUUUCAUGGUUUGAAGUAGAGUUAUGGUAAAUUUCCGAUUUAUUGUUGAUUUUUUUGCCCUCAUGUGAUGAUUAAUGAUGGCCACGGAAUGAUAGCCUUGUCAUGUGUAAAAUUGAAACUUUCAUAUGUUGGUUUUGGUUGCUUACAAAAAUUUCAGCUUGUGUGGUUGAUUUCCAGCUUAGAGAGCAAGUUGUCCUGUUUCUGACCUGUGUAAUUCGUUCAUGUUAAAGGUCGAAUCAGGCCUAGAUCAAAACAUGAAAGUUGUAGAGAAUGGAGUUAGGAAGCUGCCUGUAAAAUUUCAGUUCAAUCCGAGCAUUGUAGCAUGUUAUAUGACUACAAUACUCCUAACUGCCAAAUGUUCUUUUCCGCGGACAGUUUUGAGAUUUCACAUUUCUGGCUUCGUUUUUCACUUUGAUCGGUAUCAAAUCAGCAUUUGGCCAAAACACGAAAAUUGUAGUCCUAUUUUUCAGUUUUCCAACGCAUCUGAAAACAUCUUAAUCGGACUUUUAUAGCCUGAGUUGUUGCUAUUUGAAUUCAGUGCUGACAACCAGACUGAUAAUGAAAUUCUGGUUCUGUAAUCUGCAAAUUCGACCUAGAUCAACUGUGAACUGGGUUGAGUUGUCUUCAUGAAAGUUGUAACAUUUUGUUUUAACUUCGAAACGGUAUAAAGUGUACCCCAAACCAGUAGGCGUAACUUUGGUUGUGACCAAAACACUUUGAGACGUCAAACUUGUUAUUUGUUUUAAACAUUAGUUCCGAUCAAUUUGCUAGCAUUAUUUUACAAUUGAAUGACGUUGAGCUUAUUGAAAGGCUAUUGUGGUAAGAUUAUUUGUGUGAGAUUUUGGUGCUGAAUUGAGAAAAAUAAUGAAGUCAUAAAUGACUGAAAAAUAAGUAAACACAAAGGGUGUGCUGCCCAAAGUUUUAAGAAUGAGCAUGUGUUUUACAAAUAUUUUACUCAUGUCCUUUGGUCUAAAUGUAUUUUUUUCACUCCAAAAAUCUUUAUACAUUGUACUAGUAGUUAUUCAGAUUUUCUUUGAUUCACCUAAACUUUAGAUGGUUGAAUCGUAAUAUUUUCUCUUGGUUAUUCUUAGGGUUUGUCGGUAAUUGAGGGUAUUAUCCGAAAGGAAAUUUGGACGUUACUUUGCUUAAACGGGUGAGCGUUCUUUAUACGUUAUGUUUCCAAUGACAUUGUGGAUUGUUGUGAAUGUUUGAUUAUUUGUUAAAUGUUUUCAGUGAUUGCUAAAAAUGUAUUUUGCUAGGCGAGUGUGUACUUUAUCGCACUCGACCUAAAUGAAUGUGAAAUUUUCAAUGAUUAAAUGAUUAAAUGCUACUUGUGCAUGAAUGUAAACCUUUUGGCUGAACUGGGCCCCUGCCCUUCGUUGCCAAUUGACUCGAGCCAGAAGUGGACUCGGUUGAGCGAUUGGUGACCCUGGGAUAACGUUUAGUAUACUCGAGUAUGACCACGAAAAUUGGUGGAGAUUAACCAGAGAAUUGGCUAGUGGGGGAAAUGAAAUGAAUGAACGAAUGGCAAGAAUAAUGGAGUGGUUUUCACUUGCAAAUGUUUUUUGAAUGUUGGAGGAACAAGGAAAAUGGUUGGCGAAUGAAUGAACGAAUGGCUCCGCGUGAGCAUGUAUCCUUUUAUGAGUAUGUUACCAUUGCUUUUAUAUUGUAAAUGUUUUCUGGAUUAUAUGUUAUUCAAUGAUUAAUGUCUUUGUUUGAACUACUUGAUUAUGUGUAUGGGAACCUCACUAGCCUUUUAGCUCAUUCCGUUAGUUUUGUUUUCCUUAUAGGGGAUGCGAGCGAGGGCGUGAGAUUGGUACAGAAUAGCCUAGUAUAGUUCUUUUGCAUUUUGCGAUUGUACUCGCGCUAGUGCUUGGUUAGGGUUGAAUGUAUUGAGAGCUUAAAACUUUGGAAUUGUAUUAGUGUUUGAGAUAGAAAUGUAUGUAUGUAUACAUUCCAAUUCCAAGUUUGGGAACUGAUAUUUCCCUUAUUCUCGAGGUUAUUACCUUAUUUUGUUUGAAACGAAUGAACGAAUCCUAACGAGAGUUGGGCAGGCGGUUCGCUAAACCGUGGGAUACACUCUAGGAGGAGGUGGGAUCGUCACAACUGCUAUCACAUUGGGUAAGGAUAACUUGAGACCUGGUGAAGAGGAAGAUGAUGAUGAUGAUGCUGCUCAAGAAAAGGCAAGGCAGCGGGAUGACCAUGUGAUGUUGUCCUUGGUUUCUUUGUGAACUAACAAGCUACUUUUUUCAGCAAGUCUAACUGUAAUUGAGCAUGUCUAACAAAUUUGUCCAUUCUCUUGUACAUAAAACGAGAUUAUUUACAUCUAGAUGGAGAUUCUUGUAAUGUUAGUCUUGUAUUUUAAAGAUCAAUAGACGAGCCUCAGUUUCCUUUUGUUUAUUCAUUGUGAUUGUUCCA
rnacentral:lncRNA from 1 species